UACGUAGGGGGCAAGCGUUGUCCGGAAUCAUUGGGCGUAAAGCGCGUGUAGGCGGUUCAGUAAGUCUGCUGUGAAAGUCCAGGGCUCAACCCUGGGAUGCCGGUGGAUGCUGCUGGACUAGAGUGCGGAAGAGGCGAGUGGAAUUCCCGGUGUAGCGGUGAAAUGCGCAGAUAUCGGGAGGAACACCAAUUGCGAAGGCAGCUCGCUGGGACGUUACUGACGCUGAGACGCGAAAGCGUGGGGAGCAAACAGG
rnacentral:rRNA from 1 species